GACGAACGCUGGCGGCGUGCUUAACACAUGCAAGUCGAGCGGAGCGGCGAACGGGUGAGUAACGCGUGAGUAACUGCCCCCCUCUCUGGGCUAACAGUUGGAAACGGCUGCUAAUACCGGAUAGUGGGGGAUGACUCGCGUCCUAUAAGCUUGUUGGUGGGGUAGUGGCCUACCAAGGCGACGACGGGUAGCCGGCCUGAGAGGGCGACCGGCCACAGUGUGAUUAGAUACGGCCCAAACUCCUACGGGAGGCAGCAGUGGGGAUGAUUGCACAAUUUGGGAAACACUGAUGCACUACCCCGCGUGGGGGAUGACGUCCUUCUGGUUGUAAACUCCUUGCACCAUCUACGCGGUAGAUGGAGAAGAAGCACCGGCUAACUACGUGCCAGCCGCCGCGGUAAUAC
rnacentral:rRNA from 1 species